AAACAUAUCAUGAGAGCACUUUCUCAACAUCUCCUUGUAUCUUUUUCAAGUUUCAUAGAGGAAUUCUCCUUCCUUUUAAGUGAAGAUUUGAAUGUCAUGUCUUAGUUU